rnacentral:rRNA from 1 species
UACGUAGGUGGCAAGCGUUAUCCGGAAUUAUUGGGCGUAAAGCGCGUGUAGGCGGUUCGGUAAGUCCGCUGUGAAAGUCGGGGGCUCAACCCUCGGAUGCCGGUGGAUACUGUCGAGCUUGAGUACGGAAGAGGCGAGUGGAAUUCCUGGUGUAGCGGUGAAAUGCGCAGAUAUCAGGAGGAACACCAAUUGCGAAGGCAGGUCUCUGGGCAUUAACUGACGCUGAGGAGCGAAAGCAUGGGGAGCGAACAGG